rnacentral:misc_RNA from 1 species
GAAAUUGUUAGGCUGAUGCAAGGUUUGGCUUCAGUUUCAGAACAAACAGUAACAGUGUAAGCUGAGUGAAGGAUGUACUCUCUUGUUUUCUCCUUAAGCAUGUAGGUUGAACAGUAUAAUCCACAUAGUUUUCUCUCUUUUCCUGCUUUUCUUUCAUGUGUAAAUUAUCAUAGUGUUGCGUAAGAGAAGCUGUGGAAGCGGAAACACUUUUUUUUUUCAUGGAGCAAACAUGUAUUUUUAUAGUGAAGUUGUAAAUACAUGUUUGCUCCAUGAACCUGAGCUUGUUGAACUGCAAUUAUCUC